rnacentral:rRNA from 1 species
UACAGAGGGUGCAAGCGUUAAUCGGAAUUACUGGGCGUAAAGCGUGCGUAGACGGUUGCGUAAGUCAGAUGUGAAAGCCCCGGGCUCAACCUGGGAAUUGCAUUUGAGACUGCGUAGCUAGGGUGCGGAAGAGGGAAGCGGAAUUUCCGGUGUAGCGGUGAAAUGCGUAGAUAUCGGAAGGAACACCAGUGGCGAAGGCGGCGACCUGGGUCGAGACUGACGCUGAGGCGCGAAAGCGUGGGGAGCAAACAGG